UACGUAGGUGGCAAGCGUUGUCCGGAUUUACUGGGCGUAAAGGAUGCGUAGGCGGACAUUUUAAGUCAGAUGUGAAAUACCCGAGCUUAACUUGGGUGCUGCAUUUGAAACUGGGUGUCUAGAGUGCAGGAGAGGUAAGUGGAAUUCCUAGUGUAGCGGUGAAAUGCGUAGAGAUUAGGAAGAACACCAGUGGCGAAGGCGACUUACUGGACUGUAACUGACGCUGAGGCGCGACAGCGUGGGGAGCAAACAGG
rnacentral:rRNA from 1 species